GACGAACGCUGGCGGCGUGCUUAACACAUGCAAGUCGAACGCUGAAGACCUGGCUUUUGUUGGGUUGGAUGAGUGGCGAACGGGUGAGUAACACGUGAGUAACCUGCCCUCUUCUUUGGGAUAACGCCCGGAAACGGGUGCUAAUACUGGAUAUUCACUGGCCUUCGCAUGGGGGUUGGUGGAAAGGUUUGUUCUGGUGGGGGAUGGGCUCGCGCCCUAUCAGCUUGUUGGUGGGGUGAUGGCCUACCAAGGCUUUGACGGGUAGCCGGCCUGAGAGGGUGACCGGUCACAUUGGAACUGAGAUACGGCCCAGACUCCUGCGGGAGGCAGCAGUGGGGAAUAUUGCACAAUGGGCGAAAGCCUGAUGCAGCGACGCCGCGUGAGGGAUGGAGGCCUUCGGGUUGUAAACCUCUUUCGCUCAUGGUCAAGCCGCAACUGUGGGUUGUGGUGAGGGUAGUGGGUAAAGAAGCGCCGGCUAACUACGUG
rnacentral:rRNA from 1 species